rnacentral:rRNA from 1 species
AGUCUGCAACUCGACUACAUGAAGCUGGAAUCGCUAGUAAUCGCGAAUCAGAAUGUCGCGGUGAAUACGUUCCCGGGUCUUGUACACACCGCCCGUCACACCAUGGGAGUCGGGAAUGCCCGAAGUCAGUGACCCAACCGGAAGGAGGGAGCUGCCGAAGGCAGGCUCGAUAACUGGGGUGAAGUCGUAACAAGGUACC